UACCCAGGUGUGCAGGUACUACCUAUAAAACACCCGGGUUUAGGGGCACAGGGUGGAAGCCUCAGCAUGGACCUGCAGGCCUGAGGUGCUGUGUCCUUUAGUGGCUACACAGGGGUUCCCUCCGCUGCUAUCUCUCCCGGGCUCCCAGCAGCUGAAAGGAGGAGAUGGUUUUGCUUGACUUGGUAAGAACCGUUCUUGUGAGUUGGCAAGACAGAGGGGUCCCACUGAAAGCGGCCAUCAAAAAGCUGGAGUCGGCACUGGCACACCCACACACAACCAUCUGUCUGAUGUGCAGUAAAACCUGUCAGUUGGGGUAAA